rnacentral:rRNA from 1 species
GAUGAACGCUGGCGGCGUGCCUAAUACAUGCAAGUCGAGCGAAGCGGGGACGGGUGAGUAACACGUGGAUAACCUCAUAUAAGACUGGGAUAACUUCGGGAAACCGGAGCUAAACCGGAUAAAUAUAGAUGGAUCCCAGCUGCAUUAGCUAGUUGGUAAGGUAACGGCUUACCAAGGCAAAGAUGCAUAGCCGACCUGAGAGUGUGGUCGGCCAAACUGGUACUGAGACACGGUCCAGACUCCUGCGGGAGGCAGCAGUAGGGAAUCUUCCGAAAUGGGCGAAAGCCUGACGGAGCAACGCCGCGUGAGGGAUGAAGGUCUUCGGAUCGUAAAACUCUGUUAUGAGUGUAGCGGUACCUAAUCAGAAAGCCACGGCUAACUACGUGCCAGCAGCCGCGGUAAUUC